UAAAAAUUUAAAUUUAGUUUAAUAAAUUAAUUAUUAAAUUUAUUUAUAUAUAAUUUUUAAAAAUAAUAAUAUUUAAAUAAUAUUUAUUAAAUAUUUUAAUAAAUAAAAUUAAUUAAUUAAGAAAUUAAUUAUUAGAAAUUUUAUUAAAUAUAGGUUAAUUUUGUGCCAGCAUCAGCGGUUAUACAAAAUAUAUAAAUUAAUUUUAUUAAUUUAUUACAUAAAUAAAUUAUUUAAUAUUACAAUAUUUAAAUUUAUGAUAAAAUAAAAAUUUAAAUGAUUAUAAUAUUAAUUAUAAUAAAUUGAAUUUAUUAAAAUAUAUUUAAAAACUAGGAUUAGAUACCCUAUUAUUUAUAAUAAAUAUAAUAUAAUUAAUUAUUAAAUUUAAAUAUUUAAAUUUAAAAAUUAUGACGGUAUUAUAAUCUAGUUAGAGGAACUUGUAUCAUAAUUGAUAAUCCACGAUAGGAUAAAUAUAAUUAUUUAUAUUUUUGUAUGUUCGUUAUAAAAAAAUUUAUUAAUAAUUUUAAUUUUUAUUAAUUAAUAUAAUAAAUUAUUUCAGAUCAAUAUGAAAUUUAAAAUUAUAAGUUUUAUGAGUUACAUUUUAAUAAUUAAUAAUGAUAAUUAAAUAUUAAAUUUAUUUAAUAAAAUUGGAUUUAAUAGUAAUAAGUAAUAAUAUUUAUUUAUGAAUAUAGUUUUAUAAUAUGUACAAAUUGCCCGUCACUUCUAGUAAUAGAAUAAGUCGUAACAAAGUAAAUAUACUGGAAAGUGUAUUUAGUUUUAA
rnacentral:ncRNA from 1 species